GGUUAAAAAGCUCGUAGUUGGAUUUCUGUCGAAAACGGCCGGUCUUCGCUAUGCGAAUGUAUCUGGUUCGGUUUUGGCAUCCUCGUGGGGAACGCAGCUGCGCUUGAUUGCGUGGUGCGGAAUUCACGACUUUUACUUUGGGGAAAUUAGAGUGUUCACGGCAGGCAAGCGCCUUGAAUAUAUUAGCAUGGAAUAAUAAUAUAGGGCCUUGGUUCUAUUUUGUUGGUUUCUAGGACUGAGGUAAUGAUUAAUAGGGAUAAUUGGGGGCAUUUGUAUUAACGCGUCAGAAGUGGAAUUCUUGGAUUGCGUUACGACAAACUACUGCGAAAGCAUUUGCCAAGGAUGUUCUCAUUGAUCAAGAACGAAAGUAUGGGGAUCGAAGAUGAUUAGAUACCGUCGUAUAUCUAUACCAUAAACUAUGCCGACUAGAAAUAUGGAGGUCGUUCUUUUUAUGACUCCUUCUGCACCUUAUGAGAAAUCUAAAGUCUUUGGGUUCCGGGGGGAGUAUGGUUGCAAAGCUGAAACUUAAAGGAAUUGACGGAAGGGCACCACCAGGAAUGGAACCUGCGGCUUAAUU
rnacentral:rRNA from 1 species